UCAAAUGGCUCGUGAUAGUGCUCCGUCGAUCAUCUUUAUUGAUGAAAUAGAUUCAUUGUGUGGUCAACGAGGUGAAGGUAAUGAAAGUGAAGCUUCAAGACGCAUAAAGACUGAACUUCUUGUGCAAAUGCAGGGUGUAGGACACAAUGAUCAAAAGGUUCUUGUUCUUGCUGCAACAAAUACUCCCUAUGCUUUGGAUCAGGCCAUUCGUCGACGAUUCGACAAGCGGAUAUACAUUCCCCUUCCUGAUUUGAAAGCCAGACAGCAUAUGUUCAAAGUGCAUUUGGGGGAUACACCACAUAAUUUAACGGAAGCAGAUUUUGAAAGCUUAGCACGCAGGACAGAUGGUUUCUCGGGUUCAGAUAUUUCAGUUUGUGUGAAGGAUGUGCUCUUCGAACCUGUUCGUAAAACUCAAGAUGCUAUGUUCUUCAUUAAGACUCCUGAUGGUAUGUGGGUACCUUGUGGACCAAAGCAACAAGGUGCUGUCCAAAUUACCAUGCAAGAGUUGGCAACUAAAGGACUCGCCUCAAAGAUUCUUCCUCCUCCAAUUACAAGAACAGACUUUGACAAGGUCCUAGCUCGACAAAGGCCUACCGUGAGUAAAUCUGA
rnacentral:misc_RNA from 1 species